UUCGGGAACUGUGAGACAGGUGNCUGCAUGGUUCGUCGUCAGCUCGUGUUGUGAAAUGUUGGGUUAAGUCCCGCAACGAGCGCAACCUUAUCCUUUGGUGGCCAGNGGUAGGCCGGGAACUCAAAGGAGACUGCCAGUGAUAAACUGGAGGAAGGUGGGGAUGACGUCAAGUCAUCAUGGCCCUUACGACCAGGGCUACACACGUGCUACAAUGGCAUAUACAAAGAGAAGCGACCUCGCGAGAGCAAGCGGACCUCAUAAAGUAUGUCGUAGUCCGGAUUGGAGUCUGCGAACUCGAUCCAUGAAGUCGGAAUCGCUAGUAAUCGUAGAUCAGGAAUGCUACGGGUGAAUACGGUACCCGGGGUCUUGUAACA
rnacentral:rRNA from 1 species